AUUUCAUGGUUAGGGCAAUUUGCGAAUAUUUCCUUGAAUCUUUCCCAUGCUUCAAGCCAUGGUUCUUCAUGGAAUUUAUGAAAAUUAACAAUCUCAUCCCAUAAUAU